AAUCGAACCCGGAGAUAGCUGGUUCUCCUCGAAAUAGUUUUAGGACUAGCCUUAAUUUAGUCUGAUGGAGGUAGAGCACUGAAUUUUUGCGGGGGCGUCAAAGCUUACCAAUGAAUAUCAAACUGCGAAUGCCAUACAGAUGAUGAUUAGGAGUCAGACUACACGAGAUAAGUUGGGUAGUCGAAAGGGAAAGAGCCCAGAUCUACGGCUAAGGUCCCAAAGUGAGUGUUAAGUGGAAAAGGAUGUAGGAUCUCAUAGACAACUAGGAUGUUGGCUUAGAAGCAGCCAUACAUUAAAAGAGUGCGUAAUAGCUCACUAGUCGAGAGGUUCUGCGCCGAAAAUGUCCGGGGCUAAAACACUACACCGAAGCCAAGGGAUGACGAAAGUCAUCGGUAGAGGAGCAAUCUUACCGACGCAGAAGCCAUACCGAAAGGAGUGGUGGAGAAGUAAGAAGAGAGAAUGCCGGAAUGAGUAGCGAGAGUGAGGUGAGAAUCCUCACGGCCAAAUACCCAAGGAUUCCAGAGUAAAGCUGAUCUGCUCUGGGUAAGUCGGGACCUAAGGCGAGGGAGAGAUCCGUAGUCGAUGGACAUCAGGUAUAGAAUCCUGAACUGCAUAUAAUCAGAAAUGUGGGGACACAGAAACUAAAGUCGAACCCGGGAGAGCAAAGACCGGGAUAAGCGAGGUAGCAGGUGGUAGGAAAAACCGCCACGAAAUGCGAAUGCGUGAUAUGUAGCGAAGAAAAGUAGCGAAGUCGAAUAGGGAGCUGUCAAGAAAAGCCGCUAUAGCGUUAUAUGUACCCGUACCGAAAACCGACACAGGUGGGAGGGGAGAGAAUCCUAAGGCCGGCGGGAGAAGCAUUGUUAAGGAACUCGGCAAAAUGACCCCGUAACUUCGGGAGAAGGGGUACCGAAAGGUCACAGAAAAAAGGCUCAAGCAACUGUUUAGCAAAAACACAGGUCUAUGCGAAACCGAAAGGUGAAGUAUAUGGGCUGACGCCUGCCCGGUGCUGGAAGGUUAAGAGGAGAGGUCAGGCAACGAAGCUUUGAAUCUAAGCCCCAGUAAACGGCGGCCGUAACUAUAACGGUCCUAAGGUAGCGAAAUUCCUUGUCGGGUAAGUUCCGACCCGCACGAAAGGCGUAAUGAUUUGAGCGCUGUCUCAACAAUGCACCCGGUGAAAUUGAAGUACCAGUGAAGAUGCUGGUUACCUGCGCCAGGACGGAAAGACCCCAUGGAGCUUUACUCUAGUUUGAUACUGGGGUUUGAUGAUGCAUGUACAGGAUAGGUGGGAGACUGCGAGGCGAGGACGCCAGUUUUCGCGGAGUCACUGUUGGGAUACCACCCUUGUAUCAUUGAAUUUCUAACCCGUGGCCGUAAGCCGGUCAGGGGACAAUGUCAGAUGGGGAGUUUGACUGGGGCGGUCGCCUCCGAAAGAGUAUCGGAGGCGCUCAAAGGUUCCCUCAGAAUGGACGGAAACCAUUCAAAGAGUGCAAAGGCAAAAGGGAGCUUGACUGCGACACUGACGGGUGGAGCAGGUACGAAAGUAGGACUUAGUGAUCCGGUGGUUUUAAGUGGGAAAGCCAUCGCUCAACGGAUAAAAGCUACCCUGGGGAUAACAGGCUUAUCACUCCCAAGAGUUCACAUCGACGGAGUGGUUUGGCACCUCGAUGUCGGCUCAUCGCAUCCUGGGGCUGAAGUCGGUCCCAAGGGUUGGGCUGUUCGCCCAUUAAAGCGGUACGCGAGCUGGGUUCAGAACGUCGUGAGACAGUUCGGUCCCUAUCCGGCGUGGGCGUAAGAUAUUUGAGAGGAGCUGUCCUUAGUACGAGAGGACCGGGAUGGACUGACCACUGGUGUACCUGUUGGGUAGCAGACCCACGGCAGGGUAGCCAAGUCGGGAACGGAUAAACGCUGAAGGCAUCUAAGCGUGAAGCCGACCUCAAGAUGAGAUAUCUCAUGCGAAAGCAGUAAGACCCCUUAAAGACAAUGAGGUAGAUAGGGCUAAGGUGU
rnacentral:rRNA from 1 species